rnacentral:rRNA from 1 species
CAAAAGCAUAUAUUAACGUUGUUGCAGUUGAAAAGCUCGUAGUUGAAUGUUUGGUGUGGCGCGGUCCGGGCUCGGUCUUAUGGACCUUGUUUUCUGCGAUCGCGCUUGCCAUCCUCCCUCUUCUUUGGAGAGGGUCUUUUACUGUGAAUAAAAUGGGGUGUUCAAAGCAGAGCGUAGCUCGGAACAACCAAGCAUGGGAUAAUAAGAUAGGGCCUGGUUGCUAUUUUGUUGGUUUGCACAGCCGGGUAAUGAUUAACAGGGACAGUUGGGGGUAUUCGUAUUUAAUUGUCAGAGGUGAAAUUCUUGGAUUUAUGAAAGACGAACGACUGCGAAAGCAUUUACCAAGGAUGUUUUCAUUAA